rnacentral:rRNA from 1 species
CCCUUAGAUGUUCUGGGCUGCACGCGCGCUACACUGAUGCGUUCAACGAGUUUAUGACCUUGCCCGAUAGGGUUGGGUAAUCUUUUUAAAUCGCAUCGUGAUGGGGAUAGAUUAUUGCAAUUAUUAAUCUUCAACGAGGAAUUCCUAGUAAGCGCGAGUCAUCAGCUUGCAUUGAUUACGUCCCUGCCCUUUGUACACACCGCCCGUCGCACCUACCGAUUGAAUGGUCCGGUGAAAUCUCGGGACGGCGGCUUGGUCGCUUGCGUCCGACUGCUGAAACUUGAUUAAACCAUAUCAUUUAGAGGAAGGUGAAGUCGUAACA